rnacentral:lncRNA from 1 species
AUGAAGACUAGAGUGGGUUGCUGGUUCCUUUCUCUUAAUGCAGCCUCCAAGUGCCACUGUGAGGUCUGGAGAGCUGAGAGAAGCACUAAGCAGGCAGGAGACGGCGGGAUGUGGAGUUUGGGAGACCAACACACACAGCAUCUGAAGGCACAGGGUCCACAGAGGGGCUCCGGAAGAACCUUUGCCUUGCACACGUGGUUAGGUUCACUCUUCUGCUCCUCACUAUCCCCUGGCUUAGGUCACGGCCUUCAUCAUCCAGAUGGUAACUUACUCAGGCUCAGGAGACAAAUGCAGGUGCCAGUCGGACAUCCGCGGUCUGACACACCAGCUGGAUCAGAGGCAGUCCUGCCACCUGCUGCCCCUCACCACCUGAGUCCAGGAGGAGCUGAGCUGGGGGGAAGCAAGGCUCCAGACACGAAGCGCCACAAGGUGGAGGCAGAGAACACUGCUGGUGUAGCCCCUGGGGUGGGUGGGUACCUUACAGAGAGGGGACCAGAGGGGGACCACCCAGGGCAAGGAACCCUGGAGCCGGCUCCUCCUCUAUCACUCAACCAUCACCAUCAAGGGCUAGGAAGCCCGGAGCCGGCUCCCUCCUCUCUCCCUCAUCCAUCACCACCCAGGGCGAGGAACCCUGGAGCCGGCUCCUCCUCUCUCCCUCAUCCAUCACCACCCAGGGCGAGGAGCCCUGGAGCCGGCUCCCUCCUCUCCCCCUCAUCCUUCACCUUCCAGGGAGUGGAACCCUGGAGCCGGCUCCCUCCUCUCUCCCUCAUCCAUCACCACCCAGGGAGUGGAAGCCUGGAGCCGGCUCCUUCCUCUCUCCCUCAUCCAUCACCACCCAGGGCGAGGAGCCCUGGAACCAGCUCCCACUCCUCUCUCCCUCAUCCAUCACCACCCAGGGUGAGGAACCCUGGAGCCAGCUCCCUCCUCUCUCCCUCAUCCUUCACACAGGGCGAGGAACCCUGGAGCCGUCUCCUCCUCUCUCCCUCAUCCAUCACCACCCAGGGCAAGGAACCCUGGAGCCGGCUCCUCCUCUAUCACUCAACCAUCACCAUCAAGGGCUAGGAAGCCCGGAGCCGGCUCCCUCCUCUCUCCCUCAUCCAUCACCACCCAGGGCGAAUAACCCUGGAGCCAGCUCCCUCCUCUCUCCCUCAUCCAUCACCACCCAGGGCGAAUAACCCUGGAGCCAGCUCCCUCCUCUCUCCCUCAUCCAUCACCUUCCAGGGAGUGAAACCCUGGAGCCGGCUCCCUCCUCUCUCCCUCAUCCAUCACCACCCAGGGUGAGGAACCCUGGAGCCGGCUCCUCCUCUCCCCCUCAUCCAUCACCUUCCAGGGUGAGGAACCCUGGAGCCGGCACCCUCUCCUCUCUCCCUCAUCCAUCUCGGUGGCUAGGGCUCCAAGCACUUUAAGGGAACAACUUGGUGUCUAAGGAACAAUUGAAGGAAGUCCAAACAAAUGGAAUAUUCAAAUGUGGAGGAAAGAUGAACCAAAAUUAAUCGGAAAGCAAAAUAAGAACUUAAAAAAGCACAUUAAUUGUUCUCAGAUUGCUAAAGAAAAAUGCCUUAACAUUUGUCAAGAACCAUUUAAAGUAAAAUACCACAGGUAGGAUUUGAACAAUAACUUUAUAUAAGUGAAUAACAGAACGUAUUUAACUAUCGUAAAUGUUAAUAAUUUUACAUAAUACAUGUAAAUGUAUUCCAAAGAACAGAGAUUACUUUUUGCUCAGUAC